rnacentral:rRNA from 1 species
GACGAACGCUGGCGGCGUGCUUAACACAUGCAAGUCGAACGGAAAGGCCCUGCUUUUGUGGGGUGCUCGAGUGGCGAACGGGUGAGUAACACGUGAGUAACCUGCCCUUGACUUUGGGAUAACUUCAGGAAACUGGGGCUAAUACCGGAUAGGAGCUCCUGCUGCAUGGUGGGGGUUGGAAAGUUUCGGCGGUUGGGGAUGGACUCGAGGCUUAUCAGCUUGUUGGUGGGGUAGUGGCUUACCAAGGCUUUGACGGGUAGCCGGUCUGAGAGGGUGACCGGCCACAUUGGGACUGCGAUACGGCCCAGACGCCUACGGGAGGCAGCAGUGGGGAAUAUUGCACAAUGGGCGGAAGCCUGAUGCAGCAACGCCGCGUGCGGGAUGACGGCCUUCGGGUUGUAAACCGCUUUCGCCUGUGACGAAGCGUGAGUGACGGUAAUGGGUAAAGAAGCACCGGCUAACUACGUG